AAGGAGCGCCGCCAUUAACCUGCGCCCUGCCGCUCUUUCUGCGCCUCUGCGCUGAGCCUGAGGCACCGCCCCAGAGGUGAGCAGCGCCGAGGGCCAAGCAAGACCUAAACUUUCACAUUUUUAAUAUUAAGCCUUUUUUUCUCCACAUCAACAAAGUGCUUGAGCGAACCACUAAAGGAAGCGCACUGUAACCUCGGGAAAGGCGAAUAAAGCUCCGCACACAGCGGGGCAGAAGCUGCUCACCUGGCUCCCUUAACGCCCCAGCGCCUCCCGCCCACCGCCGCCUCAGCACCUGGGGGCGGCCCCGCGCCGCCCACAGCCCCGCCCCCUCGCGCGCAGCCGCACCCGCGCUAGCACGUGACGCCGAGUUGGGCUCCUAUUGGUCAUGGGGAGGGGCGGGGAGAUGGCCGCUGUAUAAAGCGCAGCGCGGGGAGCGCUCGGCCUUUCUGUCGGCGGAGCGAGGGGAGGACCUGUGCAGCGACUGUCCGCGGUUUGGAGCGGCCUGGUAAAUAAAAGUUGUGUGCAGCUCGCUAA